GCCCCACGUAUAAAAUUUUGAGGGUACAUAUGAGCUACACAAGAAAAGAAGUUGAGUACACCUUUGAGUCAACUUAAGAUUCAUUUAAAAGAGAGAAAUUCAUCGGCGGUCUCUCAACUUGACUCAAAGUGUCAUCUAGAUCUAUGAACUUUCAAAGUGAUACCUAUAAGAGUGUCAUUCAGGUCCUUAAACUUUCAAGAUGAUC
rnacentral:lncRNA from 1 species